rnacentral:lncRNA from 1 species
UGCUCGUCGUUCCACCUCUCCGAUUCCGCCUCCUCCCCGCAACCCGCUGGGAACUCCUCCAGGGGCUGGGAUCGGAUUCAUCGAGCCUGUUGAGAAUGGCUGACGCUUGGGUGUUGGAGGGUGUGCCCCUGCGGUUCCUGUCCCAGUAGUGUUCACUCAUGCCUGGUGGUGGCCGUUGGGCCCCUCUCCCCACCCCAGGCGCGCGGGAAUGGGACAUGAGCCAGUCACAGCCCUUGUGCCUUACCUCCUCUCUCCGCUGCCCGGGUCAACCAGCGGACAGUGGGGGAACGGUGGGCAGGUCAGCGGAGUUAGAUGGCAGCAAAGGUGGGUCGGCUUCGUGUCAUACGGGUCCAACUGGGUCUGUUCGCUUCCGUCCGCGAGCGCCCGGUCCACUAGAUGUCUGCGGCGAGCGUUGGACUUGACCGUCAACUUGAGAUUUCUAAAGAUUUGUCCCUGAUGCCUUAUUUAGUUCAGUUGGUGAGGUCAUGUUUUCCUGGAUGGUGUUGAUGCCAGUAGAUGUUCUUCAGUGUCUGGACAUUAAAACUUUGGCAUGCAGCACCAUAUAAGAGGUUAAAAAAAGACUUUUUUUAAAAAAAGGUGAGCAUUUAUUGUAGUCUUCACUGUCUGGGCUUAUUCGUAGCCAUCUUUCUUGGGAAGGAUUUCCACAUAUUUGAAAAGAACCCAGAGUUGAUCUCUGCACCACGCCAUCACUGCUGGGGGUGAGGAAAUGGUGGCACUGGUGAUUCAGGACUGUUUUUUCUCUCUCUUCAGUGCCUCUUUCAGUGAUAUGAGGUUAAAACCAGGAGGGAUGAUCAGCGGAGGCUUCUUUCUGCCAUCUUGCUUUCCUCUCACACCCAAGAAUCAGAAUGCAGAGCUUUUAAUAAGAAAAGCUUUCAGAACUCAGGAAGUACACGGAAGACAUCCUGGUUCUCCAUGUUUAACACUGAACUGUUUGUUCAACUUAGGUGCAUAGCACUGACUAACCAGGGAUUAUCAUAGAUAAUUUGAUUUGGACUAUGGAGUUCAUUCAAAUACUUUAUCUAGACAAUUUAAGUACUGGCUGAUUUGGCAUGAAAAUCUGACAAAGUAUUUUCUUGGUAUUCAAUUGAUUUUGCUCUGUUUGGGUUAGCAGUUUUAUAAACCAGUCAGUCUCUUCAUUAAAGUUCUGGGAAUACUUACCCAGUUCAAAUGAUAUGAUUCUAAAGUUCUCAAAAAUCUGUAUUCAAGAGUGCUUCUCAGGACCUUUUCCAUCCUUUCAUGAAACUCCUUAAAGAUACAAUAUUCUGUAAUUUUGCAGGCUUGUAAAGUUUUCAGAAACUGCCUCAGAAUUAAGCAAUUUACAGUGGAAAUGAUUUUAAAUUGUCAUAGACACAAUUGACAAGAAAAAUUUAUUAUUUACAGGCAUUAGCCACCACGCCUGGCCUCUGAAGUUAAUUUAAUAAAAUUUUAUAAAUAAAUUUAUCAAAUGUGUCAUCUUUUAAUCCCAGAUUUUUGUGAACCUAUGCUUCACAUUUCCCCCCAACUUUCUAUAUUUAUCUAGUUUUAUCUAUUUUUUACUUCUUCAAUUUGAAACUUUUAAGCAACUCAAACAAAAAAAAUUAAAACACAUUUUUAUGCCUUUAUAAGUUUUCUCAUCAAAAGUGUAUCUUCACAAGCCUGUAAUCCCAGCACCUUGGGAGGCCAAGGCGGGUGCAUCACUUGAGGUCAGGGGUUCGAGACCAGCCUGGCCAACAUGGUGAAACCCCGUCUCUACUAAAAAUACAAAAAUUAGCCUGGUGUGGUGGUGAGCACCUGUAAUCCCAGCUACCUGGGAGGCUGAGGCAGGUGAAUCACUUGAACCUGGGAGGCGGAGGUUGCAGUGAGCUGAGAUCAGGCCACUGCAUGCCAGCCUCGGCAACAGAACAGGACUCGGUUUAAAAAAAAUAAAAAGAAGCAUAUCUUGCUUUUUUA